rnacentral:rRNA from 1 species
CAAUGGAGGAACUCUGAUGCAGCGAUGCCGCGUGAGGGAAGAAGGUUUUAGUUCCACANAAACCUCNGGNAAANAGGGNACGAAAAAAGACGGUACCUGUAUUCCGAAGCUCCGGCUAACUACGUGCCAGCAGCCGCGGUAAUACGUAGGGAGCGAGCGUUGUCCGGAAUUACUGGGUGUAAAGGGAGCGUAGGCGGGAUCGCAAGUCAGAUGUGAAAACUAUGGGCUUAACCCAUAAACUGCAUUUGAAACUGUGGUUCUUGAGUGAAGUAGAGGUAAGCGGAAUUCCUAGUGUAGCGGUGAAAUGCGUAGAUAUUAGGAGGAACAUCAGUGGCGAAGGCGGCUUACUGGGCUUUAACUGACGCUGAGGCUCGAAAGCGUGGGGAGCAAACAGGAUUAGAUACCCUGGUAGUCCAAGGGCGAAUUC